UACAGAGGUCCCGAGCGUUGUUCGGAUUCACUGGGCGUAAAGGGUGCGUAGGUGGCUUGGUAAGUUUGAUGUGAAAGCUCAGGGCUUAACCCUGAAAUGGCAUUGAAUACUACUGAGCUGGAGGUUUGGAGGGGGGACUGGAAUUCUUGUUGUAGCAGUGAAAUGCCUAGAUAUCAAGAGGAACACCAGUGGCGAAGGCGAGUCCCUGGACAACACCUGACACUGAGGCACGAAAGCUAGGGGAGCAAACAGG
rnacentral:rRNA from 1 species